GGGGGGGGGGGGGGGGGGGGGGGGGGGGGGGGGGGGGGGGUGGCCAGAGGCCGCCUCACCUCCGGAGGGGCCAGAAGCCGAAAGAGAGCGGCCCACCCCCCACCACUGUGAUUUAUGAGAAUGAAACAACUCUCUCAUUGGCCUCCCGGGAUGCCAACCACCAGAUCAGCCUCCGACCGGGCCCCGCAUCCCACAGGGGAAGCUCCCAGAGCGGGGACAGCCCCUCCGCUCCCCGGCCUCGUGCUGCUUUUCCUCAGGCAGCUCCACCCCUACCCCCUUCCAUGUGAAACCAGCACGCCAUCCCAGCUUAUGGUAACUGAUGGCCACAUCUUGGCAGCAUCCUGAGAGCUUGUCCCUGACCAUGUAUCAGAUGGCCCCAGGUGAAGUGGUGGACAUUCUCUGGCAUGUUUGGCAGCCCAGCUUGGAGAUUGCUGCUCACAAGAGACGGGAAUGUGCCAGCUUUUGCAGAUCUGUACUUGCAGGAGGAGACCUAGACCUGUGAGGCAUCACCCUGCCAUCCAGC
rnacentral:lncRNA from 12 species